AGUGAACGCUGGCGGCGUGCCUAAUAAAUGCAAGUAGAAGGAAGUGGCGCACGGGUGAGUAAUAUAGAGCGAAUCUGCCCCUUGCUGGAGGACAACAGUUAGAAAAGACUGCUAAUACUCCAUAGCAAGGGAUGAGACUAUAUCGUAUCAGCUAGUCGGUGGGGUAACGGCCUACCGAGGCUAUGACGCGUAACUGGUCUGAGAGGAUGAUCAGUCACAUUGGAACUGAGACACGGUCCCAACUCCUACGGGAGGCAGCAGUAGGGACUAUUGCGCAAUGGGGAAACCCUGACGCAGCAACGCCGCGUGGAGCAUGACACUUUUCGGAGCGUAAACUCCUUUUGUUAGGGAAGCGGUAACUAACGAAUAAGCCCCGGCAAACUCCGUGCCAGCAGCCGCGGUAAUUC
rnacentral:rRNA from 1 species